CUUUCAGUCUUUUUAAGUUUGUCUUUCAGUAUAGAUACUUUUAUAGAGAUCCAAAAAUAUAUGUAUAUAUUUUUUUGUUCAAAAUACUAUAGUAUAUCUGCCAAGUAUGAUUACCGUGAAUAACGUUUGCUGUUGCGAAUUGAAAUGGGGCGUCUUGACCAUAGCCAUCAUCGAUUUGGUAUUGUGCGCCUGCGGCGGUGGUUUAUCAAAUUGGAUGAAAAACAGUGAGACGGGCAAAUUAUUCUUUAUUAUUGCCUUGAUUGUCCUAAUUGCUCACAUUGUUGGCUGCAUAUUGUUGAUUGUCUCCGUUUUUGCGCAAAACAAAAUGCUAGUAAUUUGCUAUGUUAUAACGCAACUUAUACGCAUAGUUAUCUGCAUAAUAUUCGUAAUCUGGAUUAUUCUUAAAUUGGCUGGUAAUGAAUAUUAUGGCAGAUCUAAAAAUGAUUUAAUUAUAACAUUAGCUAUAUAUAUUGCUAUGUUAAUCCUUGGCGUUUGGUUUUGGAUCAUUGCCUAUUCAUGGUACCGCAAACUUGGUGGUAGAACACCAGUUGAUUAAUCAGCUGAAGUCAAACCAUGGAAUAACUUGCAAAGACUAUGUAUCAAAAUUUGCACUAUUUACAAAAUUUAUACGUUUAAAUUUACAUUUGCCCACUGCUUGUCUUUCAGACUUUUGUUUAAAAAUGUUUGAACUGCUUAUACAAAGAGUAAGGAGGCUUGUGGCAUAGACUUAAAAUCGAAAAUUGAUGUCAUCAACGUUAUUAUUCGAGGUUUUCUUCUUAUAGUCCCAUUCAAGAGUGAUUUAAUAAAAGUAUAUUAACAUACAAAAUGAA